UACAGAGGGUGCAAGCGUUGUUCGGAAUUACUGGGCGUAAAGCGCGCGUAGGCGGCUUUGUAAGUUAGAGGUGAAAGCCCGGGGCUCAACCCCGGAACUGCCUUUAAGACUGCAUCGCUUGAAUCCAGGAGAGGUGAGUGGAAUUCCGAGUGUAGAGGUGAAAUUCGUAGAUAUUCGGAAGAACACCAGUGGCGAAGGCGGCUCACUGGACUGGUAUUGACGCUGAGGUGCGAAAGCGUGGGGAGCAAACAGG
rnacentral:rRNA from 1 species